AACACCCUGAGGGAUGGAAUCUCCUGUCACAUUACAGACUUACAGAACUUAGUACCUCCCCACAAAUCCUGUGCUCUCCACUUAUCCUCUAAAAGAUCACCCUUUUACCCUCCCCCAUUACUACUGUUCAGGCCUCCUCUCUCUGUGAGACAUCCCCCGAAACAGUUACAGAUUCCCAUGUUCAUAUACAUCUUGACAAACCUCUUCUUAAACUCACCCUCUUUUACACUCAGGGGCAGAACCCCCUCCAUGGGAGGGGAUUCUCUUUAUCCGCUGACAGAGUCCUCUUAUGCAAAAAUCCUCCUUACACAGUGAAAGACCUCCUUCCUAGGCCCACCUUAUACACACGACACCCCCAUAUUCAGUGACACACCCUACAGACCUUCAUACAAUGACAGACCCGCUCUUACAUACACCUCAGUCUCCAGUAGCCAGACAUUUCCUCCUCCUCCCCGCAUCCCCACAGCCCGACUAUUAUCCUGCCCCGCCAGCUUCCCCGAGACCAGGCUGACAGAGCCAGGAGCUCGGGUCUCACCAUUCGGAGGGUGGGAGUCAUGACUGGGCCCGUCCGGGGGUCUUCUCGCCAGCAGCAGGGUGAAGCAGCUGGAGAAAACUAGGACACAUAACUUCAUGUUGGCAGCCCAAAAACUUUUCCUUCUCUGGGGCCUGGGGCUCGGCUCGCACCCGAGACCCGGCCCCAAGCUCCUCUCCUUCCUCACUGCCACCCCCUUUAGCCACUAACUCGCCGGCCCCCGGAAGUCGGAGGUGAAAGACAACUUCCCGCGAGAACCAUACGCUCCGUCCCCCCAGCUCAGUCCCGCGGCUCGCGACCGCCCACACCCGGAACUUUUGGCCUGGGGCGCGGCAUGCCGGGGAACAACGAGAGAAAUUCCGCCCAUCGUACCAGGCACCCAACCACUGCUGCCGUCGCCGCCAUCUUGUGUCGCGUUUGAGAUGGCCCCGCCUCCUGGGGGGCGGGACUCGGAGAUUUUGCCCUGACGCGACCCCGACCCGGCACCGGGGUCAGCUCGGGUCCCAGCUGCUCUGUGUUUGGAGUUGAGAAGAAGGGAAGAAAGGAAAGAAAUGGAUGCAGACAAGCAAGAGAAAGGACUUUGCACAAAGAUCAAUUUGAUGGAUUUACCAUAUGCUGCAGAACUGUUUUGUUCUGGAAUUCAGGGAACAUAGAAAAGGGGACACAGGGAUCAGCCAAGGGCUUUUUUGGUUUCCUGUCUCUGAGAGAACUUGAAGCUAAAACUUCCAGCUGCUUGCAUCUAUGUGAGCAAAGUAAGAGUUUGCCUUUUUUUUUUCCCAUGGAGCCAAAACUACUUGUCCUGGUGUCCUGGUGUAGAGAUCCUACCUACUUUGACAUCUACUUUGCCAUUUAACCCUGUUCCUGUGUCCUGAGAGAGCAUCCUGACUACUGUGAAGAUUUCUGAAGCAAGCCAGUAAACUGACUGAGGGGAAGGUCUGAAGCCAUCUUGGGCCCAACUUGAUGAGGAUUUAAACCCUCUCAUAAAGGGUUCAACUUAACUACUCUGAAGAACUAUAAAUACUUAACCAAACAUUAUUUGGGAGGAUUAGUUGGUCAGGUAGUUAGAUAGCUGGGGAUUUCCAGACAAUGUAGUGAAUAGGCAGCUGGAAUUAAGGGAAGGUGACCCUUUGCAGGGCCCUUAGAAAGAGGGGGAGGAUUACUUAGAAAUUUCUUAGAUUAAGGAUUCCUAUUUCCUAAUCCUCCCAUCCUGCUACAGUGAAUAACAAUAAACCCUGUCUUUGGUUUUUAACCUUAGUCUAA
ensembl:lncRNA